UACAGAGGUCCCAAGCGUUGUUCGGAUUCACUGGGCGUAAAGGGUGCGUAGGUGGCUUGGUAAGUUCGAUGUGAAAUCUCCGGGCUUAACCCGGAAAUGGCAUUGAAUACUAUUGAGCUGGAGGUUUGGAGGGGGGACUGGAAUUCUCGGUGUAGCAGUGAAAUGCGUAGAUAUCGAGAGGAACACCAGUGGCGAAGGCGAGUCCCUGGACAACACCUGACACUGAGGCACGAAAGCUAGGGGAGCAAACAGG
rnacentral:rRNA from 1 species